rnacentral:ncRNA from 2 species
UACGUAGGGAGCAAGCGUUGUUCGGAUUUACUGGGCGUAAAGGGCGCGUAGGCGGCGCGGUAAGUCAGCUGUGAAAUCUCCGAGCUUAACUCGGAACGGCCAGCUGAUACUGCAGUGCUAGAGUGCAGAAGGGGCAAUCGGAAUUCUUGGUGUAGCGGUGAAAUGCGUAGAUAUCAAGAGGAACACCUGAGGUGAAGACGGGUUGCUGGGCUGACACUGACGCUGAGGCGCGAAAGCCAGGGGAGCAAACGGG